rnacentral:rRNA from 1 species
AUUGAACGCUGGCGGCAGGCUUAACACAUGCAAGUCGAGCGAGCGGCGGACGGGUGAGUAAUGCCUGGGAAACUGCCUGAUGGAGGGGGAUAACUACUGGAAACUGUAGCUAAUACCGCGUACCAUAGGAUGAGCCCAGAUGGGAUUAGGUAGUAGGUGAGGUAAUGGCUCACCUAGCCGACGAUCCCUAGCUGGUCUGAGAGGAUGACCAGCCACACUGGAACUUAGACACGGUCCAGACGCCUACGGGAGGCAGCAGUGGGGAAUAUUGCGCAAUGGGGGCAACCCUGACGCAGCCAUGCCGCGUGGGUGAAGAAGGCCUUCGGGUUGUAAAGCUCUUUCGGCAGCGAGGCGUUACUUGCAGAAGAAGCACCGGCUAACUCCGUGCCAGCAGCCGCGGUAAUUC